AGAGUUUGAUCCUGGCUCAGAUUGAACGCUGGCGGCAUGGCUAAAACAUGCAAGUCGAACGCUGGGCAACCAGAGUGGCGAAAGGGUCAGUAAUAGUAUCGAAUGUACCCCGAGGUGGGGGAUAGCUGCGGGAAACUGCAGGUAAUACCCCAUGAUCUCUCCGGAGCAAAGAUUCAUCGCCUUGGGAGCAGCGAUACUCCUAUCAGGUAGUUGGUGAGGUAAAGGCUCACCAAGCCGAAGACGGGUAGCGGGUGUGAGAGCAUGGCCCGCGACAUCGGAACUGAGACACUGUCCGGACUCCUACGGGAGGCUGCAGUAACGAAUAUUCCGCAAUGCGCGAAAGCGUGACGGAGCAAUGCCGCGUGCAGGAUGAAGCGGUUACGCCGUGUAAACUGCUGUCAGGGGUCAGUAAUACCGAACUGCCCCAGAGGAAGGGCCGGCUAACCCUGUGCCAGCAGCCGCGGUAAUACAGGGGGCCCGAGCGUUAAUCGGAAUCACUGGGCUUAAAGGGUGCGUAGGCGGCUACGCAAGCGUCUUGUGAAAUCCCUCGGCUCAACCGGGGAAUUGCAGGGCGAACUGCGUAGCUUGAGGUAGGCAGAGGUCGGCAGAACGAUAGGUGGUGCGGUGGAAUGCGUAGAGAUCUAUCGGAAUGCCAAAGGUGAAGACAGCCGACUGGGCCUUACCUGACGCUGAGGCACGAAAGCGUGGGGAGCAAACAGGAUUAGAUACCCUGGUAGUCC
rnacentral:rRNA from 1 species